rnacentral:rRNA from 1 species
UUUUCAAGCACGACAUCUACACUGCAGUCGAACGAUGAAGCCCAGCUUGCUGGGUGGAUUAGUGGCGAACGGGUGAGUAACACGUGAGUAACCUGCCCUUAACUCUGGGAUAAGCCUGGGAAACUGGGUCUAAUACCGGAUAGGAGCGUCCACCGCAUGGUGGGUGUUGGAAAGAUUUAUCGGUUUUGGAUGGACUCGCGGCCUAUCAGCUUGUUGGUGAGGUAAUGGCUCACCAAGGCGACGACGGGUAGCCGGCCUGAGAGGGUGACCGGCCACACUGGGACUGAGACACGGCCCAGACUCCUACGGGAGGCAGCAGUGGGGAAUAUUGCACAAUGGGCGAAAGCCUGAUGCAGCGACGCCGCGUGAGGGAUGACGGCCUUCGGGUUGUAAACCUCUUUCAGUAGGGAAGAAGCGAAAGUGACGGUACCUGCAGAAGAAGCACCGGCUAACUACGUGCCAGCAGCCGCGGUAAUACGUAGGGUGCGAGCGUUAUCCGGAAUUAUUGGGCGUAAAGAGCUCGUAAGCGGUUUGUCGCGUCUGUCGUGAAAGUCCGGGGCUUAACCCCGGAUCUGCGGUGGGUACUGGCAGACUACAGUGCAGUAGGGGAGACUGGAAUUCCUGGUGUAGCGCUGGAAUGCGCAGAUAUCACGAGGAACACCGAUGGCGAAGGCAGGUCUCUGGGCUGUAACUGACGCUGAAGAGCGAAAGCAUGGUGAGCGAACAUCAUUAAAUACCCUGGGAGUCCAUGCCGUACACUUUGGGCACUAGGUUGUGGGGACAUUCCACGGUUUCCCCGCCCAGCUUAACACAUAAUUGCCCCGCCUGGGAAUAAGGCCCCAGGCUAAAACCA